GCUGAUCGUGUUAAGUCCAGACCAAAAUAGACAAGCGAUUUCCUUUUUGAGUAGGAUUAAUUGUCAAAUUUCCGAAAAAAAAGGUUUUUGUUGUUGGUUUUGUUGGCAAGAAAAUGGUUGGCAGGUUAUGUGCCGAACCUGAGGAAAAAAUGUGUAAAAGUGCAUGUGACUAAAACCAGAAAAAAAUAGAUCUCAGUGAAGUGGUUGGCGAAGUCCGUUGCAUAUAUCGUAUUUUGCACCUAUGCCGUCCACUUAACCUACGCAAUAGAUGGUUGUCCACUUCCACGUCCUCCCAUACCAAGUGCCGUUUUCCAGAUUAGGAUUCGGCACUUAGUCAUAUUUUAUAUAAAACCCGGUAUUAAACUGAAUUUAAUACCCCAGCCGUAAUUUAUAUAA